GUGAGGAAUAUUGCGCAAUGGAGGCAACUCUGACGCAGCCAUGCUGCGUGCAGGAAGAAGGCGCUACGCGUUGUAAACUGCUUUUAACCGGGAAGAAACCCCAGGACGUGUCCUGGGUUGACGGUACCGGAGGAAUAAGCACCGGCUAACUUCGUGCCAGCAGCCGCGGUAAUACGAAGGGUGCAAGCGUUAUCCGGAUUCAUUGGGUUUAAAGGGUGCGUAGGCGGAGCGUUAAGUCAGUGUUGAAAUCCUGCAGCUUAACUGUAGACUUGCCAUUGAUACUGGCGCUCUUGAGUGCGCUUGAAGUGGGCGGAAUGUGCCGUGUAGCGGUGAAAUGCUUAGAUAUGGCACAGAACACCAAUUGCGAAGGCAGCUCACUAAGGCGAUACUGACGCUGAGGCACGAAAGCGUGGGGAUCGAACAGGAUUAGAAACCCUGGUAGUCC
rnacentral:rRNA from 1 species